CGCCCGCCGCGCGCGGCGGGCGGGGCGGGGGCACGGGGGGCCUACGGGAGGCAGCAGUGGGGAAUUUUGGACAAUGGGCGGAAGCCUGAUCCAGCAAUGCCGCGUGUGUGAAGAAGGCCUUCGGGUUGUAAAGCACUUUUGUCCGGAAAGAAAUCCUUGGUCCUAAUAUGGCCGGGGGAUGACGGUACCGGAAGAAUAAGCACCGGCUAACUACGUGCCAGCAGCCGCGGUAAU
rnacentral:rRNA from 1 species